UACGAAGGGGGCUAGCGUUGCUCGGAAUCACUGGGCGUAAAGGGUGCGUAGGCGGGUCUUUAAGUCAGAGGUGAAAUCCUGGAGCUCAACUCCAGAACUGCCUUUGAUACUGAGGAUCUUGAGUUCGGGAGAGGUGAGUGGAACUGCGAGUGUAGAGGUGAAAUUCGUCGAUAUUCGCAAGAACACCAGUGGCGAAGGCGGCUCACUGGCCCGAUACUGACGCUGAGGCACGAAAGCGUGGGGAGCAAACAGG
rnacentral:rRNA from 1 species